UUUCCUGUGGCUCAGUAGGUCGAGCAUUGCUGUAACAAUGCAAAGUUUGUGGGUUCAAAUUCCAGGAAAA